rnacentral:lncRNA from 1 species
CUCUGCUCUCUCUGCUCUCUCUCUACUCUCUGCUCCUCUCUACUCUCUGCUCUCUCUCGGCUCCCUGCUCUCUCUCUGCUCUCUCUGCUCUCUCUCUGCUCUCUGCUUUUCCUGCUCUCUCUGCUCUCUGCUCUCUCUGCUCUCUCUCUCUGCUCUCUCUCUCUCUCUUUUCUCUGCUGCUCUCUCUCUUUUCUCUGCUCUCUCUGCUCUCUCUCUGCCCUCCCUGCUCUCUCUCUGUUCUUUCUGCUCUCUCUCUCUGCUCUCUCUCUGCUCUCUCUCUCUCUCUGCUCUCUGCUCUCUCUCAGCCUGCUCCCUGCUCUCUCUCUGCUCUUUCUGCUCUCUCUCUCUGCUCUCUGCUCUGCUGCUCUCUCUCUGCUCUCUCUCUCUCUGCUCUGCUGCUCUCUCUCUUUUCUCUGCUCUCUCUGCUCUCUCUCUCUGCUCUCUCUCUCUGCUCUCUCUCUCUGCUCUCUCUCUCUGCUCUCUCUCUCUGCUCUCUGCUCUCGCUCUGCUCUCUAAGCCUGCUCUCUGCUCUCUCAGCGUGCUCUCUGCUCUCUCUCUCUUCUCUCUCUCUGCUCUCUGCUCUGCUGCUCUCUCUCUGCUCUUUCUGCUCUCUCUCUCUGCUCUCUCUCUGCUCUCUUCUCACUCACUGCUCUCUGCUCUCUCUCUCUAUUCUCUCUCUCUGUUUUCUGCUCUCUCUCUCUGCUCUCUCAGCCUGCUCCCUCUCUCUGCGCUCUCUCUCCCUCUGCUCUCUCUGUUCUCUGCGCUCUCUCUCCCUCUGCUCUCUCUGUUCUCUGCUCUCUGCUCUCCCUCUGCUCUCUCUGCUCUCUGUUCUCUGCUCUCUCUGCUCUCUCUCUCUCUCUCUCUGCCUCUGCUCUCUGCUCUCCUCUCUCACUGCUCUCUCCCUCUGCUCUCUCUCUCUGCUUUCCCUGCACUCUCUCUCUCUGCUCUUUGCUUUCCCUGCUCUCUCUGCUCUCUCAGCCUGCUCCCUCUCUCUCUUCUCUCUGUUCUCUGCUCUCUCUGCUCUCUCAGCCUGCUCUCUGUUCUCUGCUCUCUCUGUUCUCUGCUCUCUCAGCCUGCUCCCUCUCUCUCUUCUCUCUCUUCUCUGCUCUCUCUGCUCCUCUCUCUUCUGCUCUCUCUGCUCUCUCUGCUCUCUCUCUGUUCUCUGCUCUCUCUCUUUCUGCUCUCUCCCUCUCUGCUUUCGUGUCUUUGGUUAUGCCAGAUUAAGUGAUAUGACAUGCUAUCCUAUAAAAUCCUUUCUCUGUAAUUAAUAUCACCUGAUUAGCUAAUCAUGUAAAUGUAAUUAACUAGAAAGUCGGGACACCACGGAAGAGUGUUUAUAGAGCCAUUAUCUUCCGAAUAAACUCUUAACCUGAUGGGGAUAGGGGGCAGUAUUUGCACGGCCGGAUAAAAAACAUACCCG